rnacentral:tRNA from 1 species
CAAAGCAUAGCUUAAUCCAAAGCAUCUAGCUUACACCUAGAAGAUAUCAUACAAACAUGACUGCUUUGA